rnacentral:lncRNA from 1 species
AAAUGGAUGCGACAGCAGCCGCAACAGAAUCCUAACAAGCGAUGCAACGACCACUUAUGUCUAUUGACCAUAAAAAUAUGGUCACUUAGAGCGCUAAGUGGCCAUAUCUCCUCAUCAUCAUCUGAUCAUCAACCUCGCUACGCCAACCGCACGGCCUCUCUCACAUGUUUCUCUAAUUAACCACGGCAACGCUAAUUAACCACCGCAAACUUCUUAAUCACAUCUGCGCACCUUGCUUACCGCCUCCCCACGCGCGCCUGUCUUUACUCAGCUGAAUGGCGACAGCUUUAAUGCUAAUAGUUCAAUGCUCGCAGUUUAAUGGUAAGUAAACAGUAUCAACCGGCCAGCCCACCAGCAUGUACAGCUCGCCACCGAUGCGCAGAGUCUUUAUUUCCAAUAAAGCGUCAUGUAACCAUCAGACACCACAUUCCAGUUGCACGUUCGUCAACGCAAUGAUAAAGUGAACAAUGAGGAAAUCAAUACAAACAGUUCCAAGGUUCCUCAUUCGGAUACAGGAAAGGUUUUGAUAAGGGGUCCUGGUCUAAAUCCGUCAGCUAUACCGAUCAGCGAAACUGACUAAACGAAAACUGAACGUCUGUCAGUCAAAUUCCACAUGUACAUAGAGGGCACGUUUCACAAUGAAGCCUUCGAGUUCUAUGUCAUUCCAGCUCUUUGCCUCGGUUAACCUUCCCGUGUUCAAAUCACGGGAGCCCGGCUUCUUCAACAUUUUAUAACCUUCUAUGAAUGACGUUAGCCUAACGCCCUUGGCCUCGUCUGUGGGGUGCGCGAUGGUCAGCGCCACCUUCUUCGAGAAGGGCCACUCCAGGAAAUCGUACCAGUCACCGCCCCGAAUGCCCAAAAUGAACCUCACGCUCAGCUCUUCUCCACGUUCACCUACCGACAACGAGAAGUAGCAGCUUAACCCAAAGGCAUAACCCCCUAGUGUGUACAGCUCAGUCGAUAUUUCUUGUUUCUU